CAUAGACCGAAAAUUUAACACAGGACGUUUCCGCCUCUGGUUCGACGCUAGUAAAAAGCCACCUUUUAAAAAAGCUUUGCUUCAAAAACCUGAUUUGACUAUAUGCGGGGCUGGUAUACAGAGCUGUAAUCAUCAGUUGAGAUAGCCAUCAGUUUUGAGAUUCUCGCAAGAUGAAACGUCUAAUUGAAAAUCAUCAAUGCUUGCAAACACGAGUCCAAAAGUUCUUGAGGUUAUCUGUCCACUAUCUAUAGCAACGAACAGGCUAUACUGCGAGAAUUACUUUACCAUGGAAUGAUAUGGCAAUUAUAGAGACACUCUAUUGAUUAGCGGUUGAACUCCAAUUUUUGUGUAUAUAAAAAUCGUCAUUUCACCAGUCUCACCUAUAAAGUAUCAUGAGGAUUGCUGUCGAAGGUUGUGCUCAUGGCGAGCUGGAAAUCAUUUACGAAACAAUUCUUUGUUUGGAGAAGAUUGAUGGAAAAAAGAUAGAUCUACUCAUUUGCUGCGGUGACUUUCAAUCCACUAGGAACCUAACCGAUCUCCACUGCAUGGCUGUACCAGACAAGUACAAAGAUAUGUGUACAUUUUACAAGUAUUAUUCAGGUGAAAAAGUUGCUCCGGUACUAACAAUAUUCAUAGGUGGUAAUCAUGAAGCGUCGAAUUACCUUCAAGAAUUGCCCUAUGGUGGAUGGGUUGCUCCUAACAUAUAUUACAUUGGCUACGCUGGUGUGGUAAAUGUGGCAGGAAUCAGAAUUGCUGGGAUAUCAGGGAUUUAUAAAAACCACAGCUGGAUGCAGGGACACUACGAAACACCUCCAUAUACAGAUAAAACAUUACGAACUGUUUAUCACGUCAGGAAUUUGGAAAUCUUUCGUUUAAAACAGCUCAGUGGCAGUAUCGAUAUAUUCCUAUCACACGAUUGGCCCAAUGGAAUAACAAAAUUUGGCGAUGAAAACGGAUUACUAAGAACUAAACCAUUUUUCAGGCAAGACAUUAAAAACAACGCACUUGGGAGUCAGCCAUGCAUGGAACUGCUACAACUUCAUCACCCAUCCUAUUGGUUCUCGGCCCACCUUCACUGCAAGUUUGCAGCACUGGUUCCCGAGCAGAAGGGUACCAAAGUCACAAAGUUCUUAGCUCUCGACAAGUGCCUUCCAAAACGAAAAUUUCUCCAAGUUCUGGAGAUUGAACACCAAACGGAUUUGCCUAUUGAACUAUCUUAUGAUCUGGAAUGGUUAACGAUAUUAUUUCUGACAAAUCAUUUGUUGAGUGUAAAAAAAGGCCUACAUUACAUGCCAGGUCCAGCAGGAAAUGGACGGUGGAUUUACACACCUUGCGAGGAAGAGAAGAAAAAUAUUUUGAAGAAGUUCAAUAACGACUUGAGAGUACCUGAAAAUUUCAAACCUACAGUAGAAUCGUACAACCCACAGCGCUUGGAACCUCAGCCUAUAAAGCUACCCAGGAUGCAAAUAAACAUUCAAACUACAGUAUUUUGUAAAACUUUAGGGAUCGAUGAUCCUGGAGUGCUCUUACAAAUGGUUGGAAGUACAGAUCAUACAGAGUCUAAAUCAGAGGAUGAAGAUACAAAUAUCGUUGACAUUUCAGUUACACAGCACGAUUGCAGCAAUAUUUCAUAUACAUCCAUGCAAGAGAGCUCUGAUCAAAUGUAUUCGAGUGAAUGCGAAGACUUGCAGAAAGUUAGAGAAUCUGCACAGUCGGACUUUUUAUCGCCUGUGUUGAAUAGCUACUUAUCAAGUCCAGAUGUCACAGAGGAAAAGAGUGGGAACAUAAACGUGUCCAACGACAAUCAGGAAUCAGAGGUGUCUGUCACAGGUUCGCUGUUCUUAUCGUCAUUGACAAUAAACCUUUCACUUCUAUUGAUAGAUUAUCAGUAUCUUAUCUGCAGCACAACAGACAACACCACAAUUCUAUUCUGUAAUCGUUCAACUGUUUCGACUUCUCUAAUACUACAAGAAUUUUCAAAUCAUGAUAGAAACUGUACUUGGUCCAGUCGAGCUGUCGGCUCUCGGUAAAAUAUUGACUCAUGAACAUCUAGCGUUAGAUUUCACAGGAUUCUAUGUGCCACCGCCGCCUAAACUCACAAAUUAUUUCGAUAAAAAAAUUACUUUGCAGAAUGUUGGGCUCGUUAAGCAAUAUCCGUACGCUAGUAUGCAUAAUGUUACAUUCAAUGACAAAGAUACUCAUGACGCAAUUCUCUCAGAUGUUCAAUUGUUGCACAAAUUUGGUGGUGGAACAAUUAUCGAGAAUACCAGCCAUGGACUUCGGCGAGAUAUCCCCUUCAUG